rnacentral:rRNA from 1 species
AUUGAACGCUGGCGGCAGGCCUAACACAUGCAAGUCGAACGAGGGGCGGACGGGUGUGUAAUGUCUGGGAAACCGCCAGAUGGAGGGGGAUAACUACUGGAAACGGUAGAUAAUACCGUAUACCAGCGGAAGUCCCCAGAUGGGAAUAGCGUGGAGGUGGGGUAAAGGCUCACCUAGGCGACGAUCCCUAGCUGGUCUGAGAGGAUGACCAGCCACACUGGGACUGAGACACGGUCCAGACUCCUACGGGAGGCAGCAGUGGGGAAUAUUGCACAAUGGGCGCAAGCCUGAUGCAGCCAUGCCGCGUGUAUGAAGAAGGCCUUCGGGUUGUAAAGUACUUUCAGCGGGGAGGCGUUACCCGCAGAAGAAGCACCGGCUAACUCCGUGCCAGCCGCCGCGGUAAUAC